rnacentral:rRNA from 1 species
GAUGAACGCUGGCGGCGUGCUUAACACAUGCAAGUCGAACGAUGAAGCCCAGCUUGCUGGGUGUAUUCGUGUCGAACGGGUGAGUAACACGUGAGUAACCUGCCCUUGACUCUGGGAUAAGCCCUGGAAACUGGGUCUCAUACCGGAUAGAAGCGCCUGUCGCAUGACGGGUGUUGGAAAGAUUUUUCGGUCAUGGAUGGACUCGCGGCCUAUCAGCUUGUUGGUGAGGUAAUGGCUCACCAAGGCGCCGACGGGUAGCCGGCCUGAGAGGGUGACCGGCCACACUGGGACUGAGACACGGCCCAGACUCCUACGGGAGGCAGCAGUGGGGAAUAUUGCACAAUGGGCGGAAGCCUGAUGCAGCGACGCCGCGUGAGGGAUGACGGCCUUCGGGUUGUAAACCUCUUUCAGUAGGGAAGAAGCGAAAGUGACGGUACCUGCAGAAGAAGCACCGGCUAACUACGUG